AAAGAUUUAGUAUCAACCCCUGGAUUUCUUUUAGGGAUACAGAAGUACAGGAGAUGCUCAGCAAUCUGGCAAAGAAGGCUGGCUGGACAUGAAAUGUUAUGGGGGUUAUGUCUAGCUUUGGAUCCACUGAAUUCACAUAUUACAGAAAUCGGAUCAGAGCAAAGCUGAUGGGUAACAAAGAAGUUGAUGUAGAGGAUCCCUCCAUUAAGUCUCUACAUAAUUAUCGAGGAAAAUGUUUCCUUCCUCCUACAAUUAUGCUAACAAAUCCAGAGAGGGAAUACUUCACACUGAUGCUAGUAUGAAAACAAGAUUAUUCUGUGCCACAAACAAAUUGUUCAGAAAGGGGACAUUGGUGGAUUUGCAUUUUGGGUACAGUUCAAAGAAUUUUCAAUAUGAUGGUGGAAGAUCAGAGGGAGGACAAAUGGGAAAAGUUGACAGAGA